AACUGGACAAUCGUAGGCUUGUAUGAUGAGAUGAGAUGAGUAAAU
rnacentral:guide_RNA from 1 species